rnacentral:piRNA from 1 species
UGAACAAAGGUGCUCAAAGAUGGCUGGCCCC